UACGGAGGGUGCAAGCGUUGUCCGGAUUUAUUGGGUUUAAAGGGUGCGUAGGCGGUUCUUUAAGUCUGGGGUGAAAGCCCGUUGCUCAACAACGGAACUGCCCUGGAAACUGGAGGACUUGGGUACAGACGAGGGUGGCGGAAUGGAUGGUGUAGCGGUGAAAUGCGUAGAUAUUGGGAAGAACACCUGAGGCGAAGGCGGGUUGCUGGGCCGACACUGACGCUGAGGCGCGAAAGCCAGGGGAGCGAACGGG
rnacentral:rRNA from 1 species